rnacentral:rRNA from 1 species
GGGUCUGGAGGUUGGUCGUGCCACAGGUACGUACUGGUCUCACUGAUUCCUCCUUCCUGAAGAACCGUAAUGCCAUUAAUUUGGUGUUGCGGGGAAACAGGACUGUUACUUUGAAAAAAUUAGAGUGUUUAAAGCAAGCUAACGCUUGAAUACAUUAGCAUGGAAUAAUGAAAUAGGACGAUCGAUCCUAUUUUGUUGGUUUCUAGGAUUGACGUA